UACGGAGGAUGCAAGCGUUAUCCGGAAUGAUUGGGCGUAAAGCGUCCGCAGGUGGCAAUUCAAGUCUGCUGUUAAAGCGCAGGGCUUAACUCUGGAAAGGCAGUGGAAACUGAAUAGCUAGAGUGUGGUAGGGGCAGAGGGAAUUCCCAGUGAAGCGGUGAAAUGCGUAGAGAUUGGGAAGAAAAUCGGUGGCGAAGGCGCUCUGCUGGACCAUAACUGACCCUCACAGGACGAAAGCUAGGGGAGCGAAUGGG
rnacentral:rRNA from 1 species